AUGGACGAAAGUCUGACGGAGCAACGCCGCGUGAGUGAUGAAGGUUUUCGGAUCGUAAAACUCUGUUGUUAGGGAAGAACAAGUACCGUUCGAAUAGGGCGGUACCUUGACGGUACCUAACCAGAAAGCCACGGCUAACUACGUGCCAGCAGCCGCGGUAAUACGUAGGUGGCAAGCGUUGUCCGGAAUCAUUGGGCGUAAAGCGCGCGCAGGUGGUUCUUUAAGUCUGAUGUGAAAGCCCCCGGCUCAACCGGGGAGGGUCAUUGGAAACUGGGGAACUUGAGUGCAGAAGAGGAAAGUGGAAUUCCACGUGUAGCGGUGAAAUGCGUAGAGAUGUGGAGGAACACCAGUGGCGAAGGCGACUUUCUGGUCUGUAACUGACACUGAGGCGCGAAAGCGUGGGGAGCGAACAGGAUUAGAUACCCUGGUAGUCCACGCCGUAAACGAUGAGUGCUAAGUGUUAGGGGGUUUCCGCCCCUUAGUGCUGCAGCAAACGCAUUAAGCACUCCGCCUGGGGAGUACGG
rnacentral:rRNA from 1 species